GACGAACGCUGGCGGCGUGCUUAACACAUGCAAGUCGAACGAUGAAGCUGGAGCUUGCUCCGGUGGAUUAGUGGCGAACGGGUGAGUAACACGUGAGAAAUCUGCCCUUGACUCUGGGAUAACUGCGGGAAACUGUAGCUAAUACCGGAUAUUUUCCUUGGUGGGCAUCCACUGGGGAAGAAAGAAUUUCGGUCAAGGAUGAUCUCGCGGCCUAUCAGCUAGUUGGUGAGGUAAUGGCUCACCAAGGCGACGACGGGUAGCCGGCCUGAGAGGGGGACCGGACGCCCUGGGACGGAGACACGGCCCAGACUCCUACGGGAGGCAGCAGUGGGGAAUAUUACACAAUGGGCGCAAGCCUGAUGCAGCAACGCCGCGUGAGGGAUGAAGGCCUUCGGGUUGUAAACCUCUUUGAGCAGGGAAGAAGCGAAAGUGACGGUACCUGCAGAGAAAGCACCGGCUAACUACGUGCCAGCCGCCGCCGUAA
rnacentral:rRNA from 1 species